UUGAAGCACUCGCGAAUUGCAAUUAUUUGAAAUUUGAACAAAAAUACAGACCACAGUCGUACAGAGUUUUAGUAGUUCUAUUCAUACAUAUUAUUACAUAAUCACCAUGAAUAAGUGUAUUGUUUUUAGUAAAACAACUGAAGUAUCGCCUAGCCAUAUUAUGUUAGUUUUAAUUUCGUGACGUUGCUACUCGUUGCUGGUCAUUAGCAGACAAAAUAUUGCACAAAUGCUCGAGAUGUGCAUGACGGCUAUGUAAGUGUGUCCGUCAGGAGAGUCGUCACGGGAGAGAGUAUACAGGAUAAUUCUGCCGACUUAGAUGAAGACAUACAAUAUUGAAGCGAAUUAUGAAGCUUAAAGGCGAUACAAUUUUGCUGAGCAAGAAUCUAAUUUCAAUAACACAGAGGGCCUCAACAUAUUUAAAUUGCACGACUAGUAAAUCGCAUCUAAGAGAAAAUCAUAUUUCUCCAACUAUGAGUUUGAAGAAAAUGAACAGACAAAUAAAGGAUUUGGAGACGUUGCAGUUGAUUAAUUUAAUUCACCCAGAAAAUCCUUAAAAACUUAAUAAUGCCUAAUUCACAUACACUUAUAGUUGACACACAUAUUUUAAAUGUGUCUUGUUCUAAACAAUUGGAUCAAAAGCCACAUCCAGCUAUUAUCACACCCAUCAUUUGUGAUAUCGUAACUACUGUACCAAAUUUUUGGACAGACCUGGCUUCACGUGUCUGAAUGUUGCCGUAUGGUGUAGCUGUAUGGUGAGCUGUGAAAAGAUAUAUCAUAUUGAAGAUGUUGCUGAUUGGCUGUUAAAAACUUUGAAGUUUCCUACAAAGAGGAAAGACGAAGUUCUUUGGAAGAAGACUAAGCGAACACCAAUUACCUUCAGUUGCACUCUGAAUCAUGUUUGUGAUUAAAAUUAUUCGUCAUAGACUUAUUUAUAAUUAUAAGAAUACAUUAUUUUUAAAUUUUAUAAUUAGAGAAAAAAGUAUUUAAAAUCUUUAUUAAUUAUACUAUCGUAGUUUUCAUAUUUGUUGUAUUUAUAGUUUAAUUGUAAUUUAAAAUUUAGAAAUAUAUGACUAACGUGCUGUAAUUAAUUGUUAUAUUUACAGCAGUUUUUUGUACAUACUAAAUAAGAAAGUCUUACUAAAUAAGAAGAAAUAAAUUACAAUAUAAUAUUAAAUGUAACUCUAUACAUAUAAAACAAUUAAAAAAAUUUGUUUUUUAUGUCUAUGGAUAUAAGAAAACUUUAAACUAAGUCUUAUAACUAAUAUGUUAGUUUCAACUAUUUAACUUAAGUUUUAUGUUUUUUAUUUACAUUUUAUUAUGAUUAGAGCACAAAUUUGUAUGUGUUUGCAUAUUUGUUCUGGGUGAUAGUAUAAUAUGCUAAGUGAGCACAGAAUUUGUUUCAUGACCAUAACAAUUUUGAACUGUGAAACUUUUGGGAUGCAUAUUUUGACAACUAACUCAUUUUUUUGUAUUGUAAAUCAAUUUUGUAUUGCUUUCAUGCAAUUGUUCAGUUGUGGAAUUUUAAUUUUGAAUGUUUAUUGUUGACUUGUUUUGAA